rnacentral:ncRNA from 1 species
UUAAAAUCAAUGACGAGAAAGAGUAAGAUAUGACCCUGUUCCCCAGAGAAUCAGCGCUUGGUGAAAGCUGAUGUUCAGGCCUUAUCCGAAAAUCAUCUCUGAGAUGCAAAGCUGAUAAUGGAAGCUUUGACGGGUCGUCCGCCGUUACAAUGGAACACGUAUAAUCGUACGUUGACUGAGUGCCGCAAGCUUUUUUAUUUAGCUGCGGAAUUAGGGUGGUAACGCGAGCAAUAACUCGUCCCUGCU